rnacentral:rRNA from 1 species
GACGAACGCUGGCGGCGUGCUUAACACAUGCAAGUCGAACGGAAAGGCCCUGCUUGCAGGGUACUCGAGUGGCGAACGGGUGAGUAACACGUGGGUGAUCUGCCCUGCACUUCGGGAUAAGCCUGGGAAACUGGGUCUAAUACCGGAUAGGAGCCAUUUUUAGUGUGAUGGUUGGAAAGUUUUUUCGGUGUAGGAUGAGCUCGCGGCCUAUCAGCUUGUUGGUGGGGUAAUGGCCUACCAAGGCGGCGACGGGUAGCCGGCCUGAGAGGGUGGACGGCCACAUUGGGGCUGGGAUACGGCCCAGACUCCUACGGGAGGCAGCAGUGGGGAAUAUUGCACAAUGGGCGCAAGCCUGAUGCAGCGACGCCGCGUGGGGGAUGACGGCCUUCGGGUUGUAAACUCCUUUCGCUAGGGACGAAGCUUUUUGUGACGGUACCUAGAUAAGAAGCACCGGCUAACUACGUG